rnacentral:lncRNA from 1 species
GUUUCUCCUGUCUCUGAGACCCAGCACAACGUGAGGCAUACAGCAGGUGUAUUAGCAGGAUCUAGAAUACGGCAAACAGGCCUUAAACAGGGUGAUGAGGCCCAUUCCAGCCAGGUGCCUCCUCUAAACCUACAGUCAACUUGAAAAGCCCGAAGUGCUUUCCCAGAGCACUGCCUGAAGUUUGCCGUUCACAGCCAGGGAGACUUGUGAAGAGGACUGAUCCCACAGCUCCAUCUCUAAAGAGCAGGGUUUCUUGAUGAUCCCAGGAUGGGUACACAGCCAUGGGGCUCAGGGACUACCCCUGCCUCUGCCCUAUCCAUGCUCCAACGGGACAGACACAUGCCACUGCAACCAGAGAUCCUCAGCAAUCCCACUCCGUAAGGACACCUGAAAACCUCACCACCAGUCCCACCCUAGGAGAUGGAUAUUCCCCCUCUAACCUCCAGGGUGGAGAAGCAGGGUUCAAACAGGGGGCCUCAGAGCGGUGCUUCCAAGAGAAAGCGCCUUGGAAGCCAGGCUAAGGAAUGGAACUUUCUGCUCUGGGCAAUGGCGGAGCGGGGGGACAUCUACUGCCCCACCUCACCCUGUGCCGGGCAUAGGGACCUUUCAUGCUCACUCAACAAAUCCCAAUACCACCAGAGUACCCCAAAUUCCAGGAGCAAGUGGACUUGACGAGUCCCCACAUUCCCAGAGGCCUCUCAUCCCACCCUGAGAGAGAAGCAUCUCAGAGUAGGCAACAGUGUUGAUGCUUUUCCUUCAAGAAGCAAUGGUCCAGGGGCAUUCCCUGCAAGAUACUAUCUUCUGGCCUCAUUUCAAGAACCCCAGCUAUCCUCACUCACAAACUAGCCUGAGACCCCCGCUCCAACCCUCUCUUUAAAAUUAGUUCUAGGCACAGGAAGCUCCUGGAAAACUGAAUAAAAACAAAUGCUCAGAGGGAAAUGUGGGACUCCUGCCAGGUCGGCCAACCCCUCCUGACUGAUUUACAAGGCUGCAAAAUGGUACUUUGUUCUGCAAAUCCCCUCCCCUCCUUGCCCCGCCCUAAUACUCAGGCCUUGGCGUGCAGCAGCUUGGGGGCCACAUGCAGAACCGCAUGUGCAGACGACUU